rnacentral:tRNA from 1 species
AGGGAGACAAAACUGAUUUUGAUGUCUGAUUAAAAUUAUUAGGCCUUAAUCCUGUCACCUUAGGUCGAUCGGUACCUCAGAUUGAGAACUAUAAAAUGAGAUUAUUCUUAUAUUUUGUUUUCGGUUUCAGUUCCUAAACUUGUCUAGGUCACACCCAACAAACUUUCUCCUGGGCUAUUAGCUCAGGCGGUUAGAGCGCACCCCUGAUAAGGGUGAGGUCCCUGGUUCAAGUCCAGGAUGGCCCAUUCGUUGUUGGGGGUAUAGCUCAGUUGGUAGAGCGCCUGCUUUGCAAGCAGGAUGUCAGCGGUUCGAGUCCGCUUACCUCCACUGAUCAACUACCUGAUAACUCAAUUUGGAGAUUGUCAUUUGGUUAAUGUGAUUUAGAUGUUGUUCAUCUGAAUGAACCUAGCUUCCUAUCAACCAUUGAUUAUUUCCUUAGGCUGAUAAGACGCUGGGCUCACUGAUAUUUAUUUGAAUGUCAGUUUGAUUCAGUAGAACCUUGACAACUGCAUAGGAAAAUCUAGAAAAACAAAGCAUCUCAUAGAUACAUAGAAACUUAUAUUCAUAAAUUCUGAAUAUCAAUUUUCUUUGUUCAAUUCUUGAGUUAGAGCAUAAUUAGUUUUGCAUUUAAUCCAUGUAAAACAUUUAAUU